UACGUAGGGUGCAAGCGUUGUCCGGAAUUAUUGGGCGUAAAGAGCUCGUAGGCGGUCUGUCGCGUCUGCUGUGAAAACUCGGGGCUUAACCCCGGGCCUGCAGUGGGUACGGGCAGACUAGAGUGCGGUAGGGGAGACUGGAAUUCCUGGUGUAGCGGUGAAAUGCGCAGAUAUCAGGAGGAACACCGAUGGCGAAGGCAGGUCUCUGGGCCACUACUGACGCUGAGAAGCGAAAGCAUGGGGGAGCGAACGGG
rnacentral:rRNA from 1 species